AUCACCUGGGAAUCUUGUUAAAAUGCAGAUGCUGAUGCAGAAGGUCUGGGGAGGACCUGAUAUUUUUGCAUUUCUAACAAGCUCCCAGGUGAUGCCUA
rnacentral:pre_miRNA from 1 species